UACGUAGGAUGCAAGCGUUGUCCGGAAUUAUUGGGCGUAAAGAGCGCGCAGGCGGUAUGACAAGUCAGAUGUGAAAGAGGCCGGCUUAACCGGCAAGGGUCAUUUGAAACUGUCAGACUAGAGUGCAGCAGAGGAUAGUGGAAUUCCCGGUGUAGUGGUGAAAUGCGUAGAUAUCGGGAGGAACACCAGUGGCGAAGGCGACUAUCUGGGCUGCAACUGACGCUGAUGCACGAAAGCUAGGGGAGCAAACAGG
rnacentral:rRNA from 1 species